GGGUUGUGAGGUUAAGCGACUAAGCGUACACGGUGGAUGCCCUGGCAGUCAGAGGCGAUGAAGGACGUGCUAAUCUGCGAUAAGCGUCGGUAAGGUGAUAUGAACCGUUAUAACCGGCGAUUUCCGAAUGGGGAAACCCAGUGUGUUUCGACACACUAUCAUUAACUGAAUCCAUAGGUUAAUGAGGCGAACCGGGGGAACUGAAACAUCUAAGUACCCCGAGGAAAAGAAAUCAACCGAGAUUCCCCCAGUAGCGGCGAGCGAACGGGGAGCAGCCCAGAGCCUGAAUCAGUGUGUGUGUUAGUGGAAGCGUCUGGAAAGGCGCGCGAUACAGGGUGACAGCCCCGUACACAAAAAUACACAUACUGUGAGCUCGAUGAGUAGGGCGGGACACGUGGUAUCCUGUCUGAAUAUGGGGGGACCAUCCUCCAAGGCUAAAUACUCCUGACUGACCGAUAGUGAACCAGUACCGUGAGGGAAAGGCGAAAAGAACCCCGGCGAGGGGAGUGAAAAAGAACCUGAAACCGUGUACGUACAAGCAGUGGGAGCCUCUUUAUGGGGUGACUGCGUACCUUUUGUAUAAUGGGUCAGCGACUUAUAUUCUGUAGCAAGGUUAACCGAAUAGGGGAGCCGAAGGGAAACCGAGUCUUAACUGGGCGUUAAGUUGCAGGGUAUAGACCCGAAACC
rnacentral:rRNA from 1 species